rnacentral:rRNA from 1 species
UACGGAAGGCAGCAGUGGGGAAUAUUGCACAAUGGGCGCAAGCCUGAUGCAGCCAUGCCGCGUGUAUGAAGAAGGCCUUCGGGUUGUAAAGUACUUUCAGUCGUGAGGAAGGUGUUAAGGUUAAUAACCUUAGCAAUUGACGUUAGCGACAGAAGAAGCACCGGCUAACUCCGUGCCAGCAGCCGCGGUAAUACGGAGGGUGCGAGCGUUAAUCGGAAUUACUGGGCGUAAAGGGCACGCAGGCGGUUAAUUAAGUUGGAUGUGAAAUCCCGGGCUUAACCUGGGAAUGGCAUUCAAGACUGGUUAGCUAGAGUCUUGUAGAGGGGGUAGAAUUCCAUGUGUAGCGGUGAAAUGCGUAGAGAUGUGGAGGAAUACCGGGUGGCGAAGGCGGCCCCUGGGACAAAGACUGACGCUCAUGUGCGAAAGCGUGGGGAGCAAAACAGGGAUUAGAUACC